rnacentral:lncRNA from 1 species
CACCACCCUAGCCUGUACUGAGCUCAAAGCCAGUCUUAUGGUUAUUUGUGGAACACACUGGUUGUUUUUAGAUUUCUGAGAAAGGCGGUUUUGUUAAUGUCUCAUUUAGUAGUUUCUUUGCUCUGUCCACAGUGAGAACAAACCAAGGAAUGGAGGAAUCUGUGUGUUCAAUCACAACUGCAAUUGACAUCAUCAUCCUGGCCAAUGACGUCUGCUUUUCUAUGGUUGAGCAACCAUGUUGCAGACAACUCAACACCCCAUCCUCAUCUUCCCAGAGGGUUUUACAAUGAUGGUGAACAUUUUUGGGUUUAAUGGAUUAAAUUAAUCCCAGAAGAUGGAAAAACAUGAGGAAGGACAGAUUUUUGGCAAU